GGAAACGGAUAGAGCCGACGGAUCUGGCUUGCAUUCAGCCGCCGGCGGUUGGGUCACGGUUUCGGUACUCCUGCUUCUGGGUACUGUUGCCGUUUUACCCGACUUGCUAGUGGUGCAUUUGCGAGUGGAGUGCAUCGAGAAUCAUGGCGUAGCGGUUAGAUCCUAGCGUAGAGGACACCUUUGUGUGAAACCUGCGUUGGAGGAAGACUGUUUGCGUUGUGGUUUUAGUGCUAUGGCCUACGGUUGGGGUGUUUCGGAAUUUUUAGCGACGUACACCGGUCGCAUGCGACACGGGUGCGUCUAGCUAUCUAGCCGAGCCGAAUACCGCCUGGCUACAGUCUCGGUGUAAAAGUUGGUCAUCUAUCCGACCCGUCUUGAAACACGGACCAAGGAGUUUAGCGUGUACGCGAGUCAUUGGGUGUGAAAACCCAAAGGCGUAAUGAAAGUGAAUGCCACUCGAUUGGCCGAUAUGCGAUCCGGUAGACUUCGGUUUACUGGAGCAGCAUAGCCCCGUCUCGAUUGCUUGCAAUGGGGCGGAGGUAGAGCGUAUUCGCUGAGACCCGAAAGAUGGUGAACUAUUCCUGAGCAGGACGAAGCCAGAGGAAACUCUGGUGGAAGUCCGAAGCGGUUCUGACGUGCAAAUCGAUCGUCUGACUU
rnacentral:rRNA from 1 species